GUCGCUGCAAAUUCAGCGGCCGGGUUUCGCAGCCCGGUUAAACUCCAGACGCACAGCGUCCACCUCAAGAUAGCGGGCGCUUUUUU
rnacentral:sRNA from 1 species